GUGCAUCUGUUAGGCGAGGUGUGCUCCUUUCUUCUUGGCGGGCAGGAGUACACUGGCUGUAGACAGCAGUGUCAUUGUUAUGGACAUAGCUUAUUGCUUCUGUGCAUUGCCCUUAGGGACUUUGGGGACAGCA